ACACUUUACAAUGCGGGAAACCGCGAUAAGGGAACCCCGAGUGCCAGCAUCAAAUGUUGGCUGUCCAGAUGAUUAAAAAUCAUUUGUUAGCAAGGGCCGGGCAAGACCGGUGCCAGCCGCCGCGGUAACACCGGCGGCCCGAGUGGUAGCCGUUUUUAUUGGGUCUAAAGGGUCCGUAGCCGGCCUGAUAAGUCCUUUGGGAAAUCUGGCAGCUUAACUGUCAGGCUUCUAAGGGAUACUGUCAGGCUUGGGACCGGAAGAGGUAAGGGGUACUCCAGGGGUAGGAGUGAAAUCUUGUAAUCCCUGGGGGACCAUCUGUGGCGAAGGCGCCUUACCAGAACGGGUCCGACGGUGAGGGACGAAAGCUAGGGGAGCAAACCGGAUUAGAUACCCGGGUAGUCCUAGCUGUAAACGAUGCUCGCUAGGUGUCAGACACGGUGCAACCGUGUUUGGUGCCGCAGGGAAGCCGUUAAGCGAGCCACCUGGAAGUACGUCGCAAGGC
rnacentral:rRNA from 1 species